UACGUAGGGGGCAAGCGUUGUCCGGAUUUAUUGGGCGUAAAGAGCGUGUAGGCGGCCAAGCAGGUCAGCUGUGAAAACUCGAGGCUCAACCUCGAGACGUCGGUUGAAACCGUUUGGCUAGAGUCCGGAAGAGGAGAGUGGAAUUCCCGGUGUAGCGGUGAAAUGCGCAGAUAUCGGGAGGAACACCGAUGGCGAAGGCAACCCCCUGGGACGAUACUGACGCUGAGGCACGAAAGCGUGGGGAGCAAACAGG
rnacentral:rRNA from 1 species